UGGGGAAUAUUGCACAAUGGGCGCAAGCCUGAUGCAGCAACGCCGCGUGAGGGACGACGGCCUUCGGGUUGUAAACCUCUUUUGGCAGGGAAGAAGCGAAAGUGACGGUACCUGCAGAAAAAGCACCGGCUAACUACGUGCCAGCAGCCGCGGUGAUACGUAGGGUGCAAGCGUUGUCCGGAAUUAUUGGGCGUAAAGAGCUCGUAGGCGGUUUGUCGCGUCUGCUGUGAAAAGCCGAGGCUCAACCUCGGGCCUGCAGUGGGUACGGGCAAACUAGAGUGCGGUAGGGGAGAUUGGAAUUCCUGGUGGAGCGGUGGGAUGCGCAGGUAUCAGGAGGAACACCGAUGACGAAGGCAGAUCUCUGGGCCGUAACUGACGCUGAGGAGCGAAAGCAUGGGG
rnacentral:rRNA from 1 species